rnacentral:rRNA from 1 species
CCUACGGGGGGCAGCAGUGAGGAAUAUUGGUCAAUGGGCGCGAGCCUGAACCAGCCAAGUAGCGUGAAGGAUGACUGCCCUAUGGGUUGUAAACUUCUUUUAUAGGGGAAUAAAGUGCAGCAUGUAUACUGCUUUGCAUGUACCUUAUGAAUAAGGAUCGGCUAACUCCGUGCCAGCAGCCGCGGUAAUACGGAGGAUCCGAGCGUUAUCCGGAUUUAUUGGGUUUAAAGGGAGCGUAGGCGGGUUGUUAAGUCAGUUGUGAAAGUUUGCGGCUCAACCGUAAAAUUGCAGUUGAUACUGGCAGCCUUGAGUACAGUAGAGGUAGGCGGAAUUCGUGGUGUAGCGGUGAAAUGCUUAGAUAUCACGAAGAACUCCGAUUGCGAAGGCAGCCUGCUGAACUGUAACUGACGCUGAUGCUCGAAAGUGUGGGUAUCAAACAGGAUUAGAUACCCGUGUAGUC